rnacentral:rRNA from 1 species
GCAGCCGCCGCGGUAAUACAGAGGGUGCGAGCGUUAAUCGGAUUUACUGGGCGUAAAGCGUGCGUAGGCGGCUUCUUAAGUCGGAUGUGAAAUCCCUGAGCUUAACUUAGGAAUUGCAUUCGAUACUGGGAAGCUAGAGUAUGGGAGAGGAUGGUAGAAUUCCAGGUGUAGCGGUGAAAUGCGUAGAGAUCUGGAGGAAUACCGAUGGCGAAGGCAGCCAUCUGGCCUAAUACUGACGCUGAGGUACGAAAGCAUGGGGAGCAAACAGGAUUAGAUACCCGCGUAGUCCCUGUCUCUUAUAC